rnacentral:rRNA from 1 species
AACGCUAGCUACAGGCUUAACACAUGCAAGUCGAGGGGAAACGACNUCGAAAGCUUGCUUUUGAUGGGCGUCGACCGGCGCACGGGUGAGUAACGCGUAUCCAACCUGCCCACCACUUGGGGAUAACCUUGCGAAAGUAAGACUAAUACCCAAUGAUAUCUCUAGAAGACAUCUGAAAGGGAUUAAAGAUUUAUCGGUGAUGGAUGGGGAUGCGUCUGAUUAGCUUGUUGGCGGGGUAACGGCCCACCAAGGCAACGAUCAGUAGGGGUUCUGAGAGGAAGGUCCCCCACAUUGGAACUGAGACACGGUCCAAACUCCUACGGGAGGCAGCAGUGAGGAAUAUUGGUCAAUGGGCGAGAGCCUGAACCAGCCAAGUAGCGUGCAGGAAGACGGCCCUAUGGGUUGUAAACUGCUUUUAUAAGGGAAUAAAGUGAGAGUCGUGACUCUUCUUGCAUGUACCUUAUGAAUAAGGACCGGCUAAUUCCGUGCCAGCAGCCGCGGUAAUACGGAAGGUCCGGGCGUUAUCCGGAUUUAUUGGGUUUAAAGGGAGCGUAGGCCGGAAAAUUAAGCGUGUUGUGAAAUGUANAUGCUCAACAUCUGAACUGCAGCGCGAACUGGUUUNCUNGAGUACNCANAAGUGGGGCGGNAAUNCNUGGGGUUAACCGGUGAAAUGCUUNAAUUUCACGAAGAACUCCGAUUG